rnacentral:lncRNA from 10 species
CAUUCAAAGCUCGCGUCCCUUCAAGUUGAAUCUUCCGGCUUUGUGCGAUUUACCCUCUCAAACUUUCUAGUUUGCAAGUCAGAAUUACUUUGAACGUCCCCUCUUCUGGACUCCCCUCCCCAAAGGGACUGGCGGCAAAGGAGAAUAGAAUGCAGAUGGUUAAUAGUUCAAAUGAAAUUUAAAAACCUAUAAACCAAUAUUUUUUUAGAGGAGAAAAGCGUUCACCAAACCGCCACCCGGCAAGCGAGCAUCCGAUUUCCAUCCGGAGGAAAAAAUAUUUUAAAAACCAGACAUAAAAUUCCCUUUGCAAGAAAAGUGGCCUCUAAACUCCCUUGCCAAGGACACUGGGAGGAAGCAGAAAAGCAAAGACCAAGCUCGUACUUUUCAGUCCGCGGCUUGUGUGCCGCGAGGAGAGGCGCAAAGGGUGACACACCAGGAAACGCGGCCGCCCAGCGCCCGUCCCCGCGCCGCACUCCCCGGCACUCCCCGGCGCUCCCCGCGCCGCGCGCCCCGCACCGGCUGGAGGCCCCGGCCCCCCGGCGUUCCCUCUCCGCGCACCUCCCGGCCCGCGCUAGCGCGGGGGCGCCCCCCUCGGCCGGGCGCUCGGGUUUCAGCCGCCGCUCCUCCGCGCCCCGCCCGCGCCUGGCCCGCUCGCCGGCGCCGGGAGAGACCUCGUAACGGAACUGGGACGCCAGCGCUGCAUUGUGGGAGCUUUUAAAGCGGCGGGGAGCUCGGCGCGACCCUCGGGCCCACCGGGCCACGCUCGCCCGGCCCGCGACGCCCCCCCGCUGUCGCCUGGCCCGCGACGCACCGAGGCCUGAGGACCCGAAAGCCGGGCGCGGGGAGAUGACCGGUGGCUCGUGACGGUCCCACGGGCAAAAUCUUCCAUCGCCCGGGGCUGAGACUUGUCAAACUGCCCUCUACGGUCACCCGGAAAGUAGGAGGCUUUUUCUGCAGAGGGGAAAAAAAUCAAAAAGAGCCGUUCCAUCCCCCCUCCAAGGACUGGGUUUGAAUUGCUUUUCAUCUGCAGUGGCUGUGAUUCAGCGUCCCUCUUAGCAGCAGGCAAUGACAGAGGCAGGAGAGGGGAAAAAAAAAAAGAAAGAAAGAAAAAACACAGCAAAUGAAUCAAACGGACGUAUCUGACUCAGGACCUGAUUUAAGGUUUGGGGUUUUUUGGCCCUUUGUUUCUUCCUCUUGUUUUUUGACCUUUAGUUACUCCACACCUCAUUAGUUCCUUGACCUGCAGGUGGACUGAGAAGAGAGCCAUGCAGGUAGCAGGCAAGAGUGUGGUUAUCGUUGGACCAGGAUUCAGGAUCUGACUGAGUAGCUGACUCUUAAUCCAGUUUGUGUUGAUCACCAGGAGGAUCUGGACCUCAGUAUUACCACAUCUAGAGCUAUAAUCACAUCCCUGUUAAGCCUUCCUGAGAUCACACCAAAUGUCCUUGAUGGGAAUUGUAAACAACCCUUACUUCUGGUUUCUAAUGAUAUUCCAGGAAAGGAGCCUAACUAGAGUCGGUGAUAUGCCAACUCCACCUUUGCCUUCCACCAUGUUUGGAAGCUCCCUGAGGCCUCACCAGGAGCAGAUGCUCGUCCCAUGCUUCCUAUAAGCCUGCAGAACUGUGAGCCAUAAUAAACUGUGAAUUAUAAAUUGCCUUUAUAGCAAUGCAAAUGGACCAGUACAGAUGGGAUGCUGGGAAGACAGUUGUUUCCACCUUCAGUAAAGUCCGUGGAACACAGUUGUGACUAUAUUCUAGGCCAGCCAAGAUGCUUGUACUCAGAAAGGAGUGGUCUCAGGACCAUAAGAAAGUGAAAAAAUAAAAAUAAGAAAAUAAAGAAGGGAUUGUCAAUGAAUCAGAAUUCAUCAAGGUCAAAGUCUUAGGAAAUUCCUUCAUGAGGAAGUCUAGGGGGGCUAUGGAAAUGAAAUUUUUAAACAAAUAGGUAUGUGGUGCUGGCAGGAAUAAAUUAUGGACUUAUGAAUAUAACAUAAGAUUCUUUAUUACCUGGUCUCACCCGUCUUUCCACCUCUGCCCCCCUUCUUGCCCGACUCUGUGUAUCACCCAUAAUAAACUACUUACAGCUUCCUAGUGUUAAAUUUACCCUAGGGAAAAGAAAGCUGGAUAAAGUAUUUAUAGAAGAUAGAGGACCUGUGGUGGCUCAUGCCUGUAAUCCAAGGUGGAAGGAUUGCUUGAGGCCAGAAGUUCAAGACCAGUCCAAGCAACAUAGCAAGGCCCCAUCUCUACAAAAAAUGAAAAUAAAAUUAGCCGAGCGUGAUGGCUCAUGCCUGUAGUUCUAGCUUCUAGAGAGGCUGAGGCAGGAGGAUUGCUUGAGUCCAGGAGUUCAAGAUUACAGUGAGCUAUGGUCACACCACUGCACUCCAGCCUGGGUGAUGGAGUGAGACUGUCUCAAUAAAAAGACAAAAAUUUUCCUGUGUUACCCAGGCUGGAGUGCAGUAGUGUGAUCAUAUCUUACUGCAAUCUUGAGCCUCAUGGGCUCAAGCAACCCUCCCACCUCAGUUUCCCAUGUAGCUGGAACCACAGGCUGGCCAGGGGCAGUGGUUCAUGCCUGUAAACCCAGCACUUUGGGAGGCAAAGGCAGGAGGAUUGCUUAAGCCCAGGAAUUUGAGAUCAGCCUGGACAACAUGGUCAAGGAAGCUUUUCCUGAUCCACUAACUAAGGACAAUCAAACCCUUCAUGAUCUAGAAUCUGGAGACUGUGUCUUCUGGGAAUAGUAUCAGAGAAAGACUGCCCUUACUGCCCACAUGUAGCAAAACUUUGAGACGUUGAAUUAUGGGUCCAUAAUCUCACAACUCAGAGGGGCACCUCUAGACUCUUGGAACUGUAUAUCUAUUGGAGACUUUAAGGUAAAGCUGAACAGAGAGACGUUUUUCUCCAGAAGCAGACAGCACCAUAGUCAUGGACAGCUUUCCCAAGAUCACAGAUCAAGACUUCUCUGCCGUCAUGAGACUCAUAACCUCUUAAUUUUUUCUUGCUUAUGCUUCUGUGAACAAUAGAAUUGGAAAAGGGGUGGUCCCGCGUGCACCCAUAGGGUAUACUUUUAUUUGUGGAGGAUUUUGCUGCCAACCUUAUACAUGGGCAAACUUAUGCCUUCAUGGAUGGAAGAUAAAGGGCUAAUAUGGGUUAGAAAUUUUAAUGGUACCUUUGUUUCUCCAUAAUCAUUCAGAAACAGAACACUGGUCCACUCUUGUUAACCUACAUCAUAGGUUGAAGAGAACAUUGCCAGGAGGCCUUCAUCCUUCCAGAUGGGCACCAUUUGUUGGGUCUUUUUCCGUGGUAUGAAGAAAAUGAAGCAAUGAUUAGAAAUUGGUCCCUCGGCCGGGCACAAUGGCUCAUGCCUGUAAUCCCAUCACUUUGGCAGGCCGAGGCGGGUGGAUCACCUGAGGUCAGGAGUUUGAGACCAGCCUGACCAAUGUGGUGAAACGCCAUCUCUACUAAAAAUACAAAAAUUAGCUGGGUGUGAUGGUGCACACCUGUAAUCCAGCUACUCGGGAGGCUGAGACAGGAGAAUUGCUUGAACCUGGGAGGCAGAGGUUGCAGUGAGCCAAGAUCACCCCACUGCAUUCCAGGUUGGGCAACAGAGCAAGACUCUGUCUCAAAAAAAAAAGAAGAAAGAAAGAAAUUGAUCCCUCAUAAUAGGCUGUAUAGCAGAUUCUACUGCAAAGGCUAUGGUUGCACAACAGACUUCUUUGAAUUUGCUUGCUAAACUUUUACUGGAUAAUACUGGGAUUACAGGUGUGAGCCACUGUGCCCAGCCUCUCCUGUUUAACUGUAUUCAUUCUAAUGUUUACUUACUUCUUUAAUUUGUAAAAUUGGGUCACUUAGAGUUUUUUUAGCCUAUCUUGCCAUUUAGCCACUGUUACUGAUAAUUUGGAUGGAAAAGAAAAAUAAAUUAUAUCACCUCUGGUAGAAGGCCAUCCUAGGAAACAAUCCCAUGAGUGAUGUUUCAUGAAUUAUCUUCGUGAACCGGAGCAAGUCGCUUUGCCUUCCUGAACCUUCUCUGAGAUGGAAGGGUGAUCUGAAAAUAUGCCUCCCGGGUAAACCUCAGCCCUGGCUGGCAGAUCUGGCUGGCUAAUGGGACUC